CUACCGGCGGCCGACCAAUAGCGAGGCACGCCGGCCUUGCGCUUGCACGUCGGCCGCGGCGCCCGACGCAGGCGCGGCUCCGGGCGGCCUGGAAAACCCGGGAUGGAGCGGGGAGGCCGCGGAGCCGACGCGCGGCACCGCGGCGCGCAGUGCCGCGCGUGGGGCGAGGGCGGGAGCGGGGCUGGGGUCAAGGUCGGCGCGGGCAAGCGGCAGGGGCCCGCACGCGCCUCACCUGGCCCAGCGCUUUGCAGCUGCUGUCACGCGUGCACACUCAGGCUUGGUCGGAGCCUGCCGCGUGCUGGCAGCUGAAAUCCAGGCGUUUCCACGGUUGCAGUGGCUGUGAGACCCCAGCAGUAUGCACCACGUGCAGGGAACCCAAGCCGGAAGGUAUGAAGAGGGUGAGCUUGUCCCAUUGCACUGAUGUGUCUCAAGGAUGUCCCUACUAUGUAGACAUAAAGCUCCUUGAUGAAAAGAUGGACAAUGCCUGGCAAGUGGAAAUGGAGGCACAGAGAGGUUGA
rnacentral:lncRNA from 1 species